GCCCGCCUAGCUCAAUCGGAUAGAGCGUCAGACUUUUAUCCGCAUCCUAGGGUUAGGAUCAUGGAAUCUGAAGGCUGCGGGUUCGACCCCCGCGGUGGGCU
rnacentral:tRNA from 1 species